AUUGAACGCUGGCGGCAGGCCUAACACAUGCAAGUCGAGCGCGCGGCGGGGCGGUGUGUAAUGUAUGGGGACUCCCCGAUAGAGGGGGGUAACAACGGGAGACGGAGGAUCAUACAGCAUACUAUCGGAUAAACCAUAUGUGAUUAGCUAGUAGAUAAGGUAAUGGCUCACCUCGACGCCGAUCCCUAGCGGGUCUGAGAGGAUGAUCAGCCACACUGGGACUGAGACACGGCCCAGACUCCUACGGAGGCAGCAGUGGGGAAUAUUGCACAAUGGGCGCAAGCCUGAUGCAGCCAUGCCGCGUGUAUGAAGAAGGCCCUAGGGUUGUAAAGUACUUUCAGUCGGGAGGCGUUACCGACAGAAGAAGCACCGGCUAACUCCGUGCCAGCAGCCGCGGUAAUUC
rnacentral:rRNA from 1 species